AAUAAUAAGGAUAUAUAUACAUAUAUGUAUAGAAGAGGGAGAGGGGUGAGAAGGAACAGUGCAGGUGGUGAGAUAGGAAUGGACGGUUAGGAUGAUUAGUAGGUGGGGUAUAAAUAGGAUGAAGAAAAGAAAAAAAAAAGAGAAAAAGGAAAAACAGGAAGGGAAGAGAGGAAACUGUCGAUAGAAGAUGAGAGACAAAGAGAGAGAGAGAGUCGGAGAAGGAAGAGAUGAAAAGAGAGGAACGGAGGAGUCGGUCGAGGACGAGAGAGGGAGCUGGAGAANN
rnacentral:lncRNA from 1 species